AUUGAACGCUGGCGGCAGGCCUAACACAUGCAAGUCGAACGAGUGGCGGACGGGUGAGUAAUGUCUGGGAAACUGCCUGAGGGAGGGGGAUAACUACUGGAAACGGUAGCUAAUACCGCAUACAAUCGGUUGUGCCCAGAUGGGAUUAGCUAGUGGGUGGGGUAAAGGCUCACCUAGGCGACGAUCCCUAGCUGGUCUGAGAGGAUGACCAGCCACACUGGAACUGAGACACGGUCCAGACUCCUACGGGAGGCAGCAGUGGGGAAUAUUGGACAAUGGGCGAAAGCCUGAUGCAGCCAUGCCGCGUGUGUGAAGAAGGUCUUCGGGUUGUAAAGCACUUUAAGUUGGGAGGCGUUACCAGCAGAAUAAGCACCGGCUAACUCCGUGCCAGCAGCCGCGGUAAUUC
rnacentral:rRNA from 1 species